rnacentral:rRNA from 1 species
UUGGAGGGCAAGUCUGGUGCCAGCAGCCGCGGUAAUUCCAGCUCCAAUAGCGUAUAUUAAAGCUGUUGCAGUUAAAAAGCUCGUAGUUGAAUUUCGGGGUCAGUAGGUUGGUCGUGCCACUGGUACGUACUGGUCUCACUGAUUCCUCCUUCCUGAUGAACCGUAAUGCCAUUAAUUUGGUGUUGCGGGGAAACUGGACUGUUACUUUGAAAAAAUUAGAGUGUUUAAAGCAGGCUAACGCUUGAAUACAUUAGCAUGGAAUAAUGAAAUAGGACGUUCGAUCCUAUUUUGUUGGUUUCUAGGAUUGACGUAAUGAUUAAUAGGGAUAGUUGGGGGCAUUAGUGUUCAAUUGUCAGAGGUGAAAUUCUUGGAUUUAUUGAAGACUAACUACUGCGAAAGCAUUUGCCAAGGAUGUUUUCAUUAAUCAAGAACGAAAGUUAGGGGAUCGAAGACGAUCAGAUACCGUCGUAGUCUUAACCAUAAACUAUGCCGACUAGGGAUCGGAUGAUGUUAUUUUUAAUGACUCAUUCGGCACCUUACGGGAAAC